rnacentral:rRNA from 1 species
UACAGAGGGGGCAAGCGUUGUUCGGAAUUACUGGGCGUAAAGGGCGCGUAGGCGGCCUUCUAAGUCGAACGUGAAAUCCCCGGGCUCAACCCGGGAACUGCGUCCGAGACUGGAAGGCUUGAAUCCGGGAGAGGGAUGUGGAAUUCCGAGGUGUAGCGGUGAAAUGCGUAGAUAUCUGGAGGAACAUCGGUGGCGAAGGCGGCAUCCUGGACCGGUAUUGACGCUG